GCCGACUUAGCUCAGUUGGUCCAGAGCGACGGUCUUGUAAACCGUAGGUCGUGGGUUCGAAUCCGACAGUCGGCU
rnacentral:tRNA from 1 species